GUAGUCCACGCCGUAAACGAUGAGUGCUAAGUGUUAGGGGGUUUCCGCCCCUUAGUGCUGGAGCAAACGCAUUAAGCACUCCGCCUGGGGAGUACGGCCGCAAGGCUGAAACUCAAAGGAAUUGACGGGGACCCGCACAAGCGGUGGAGCAUGUGGUUUAAUUCGAAGCUACGCGAAGAACCUUACCAGGUCUUGACAUCCCGCUGCCCGGCAUAGAGAUAUGCUUUUCCCUUCGGGGACAGCGGUGACAGGUGGUGCAUGGUUGUCGUCAGCUCGUGUCGUGAGAUGUUGGGUUAAGUCCCGCAACGAGCGCAACCCUUAACCUUAGUUGCCAGCAUUCAGUUGGGCACUCUAAGGUGACUGCCGGUGAUAAACCGGA
rnacentral:rRNA from 1 species